UGUGCUGCCCUAACUUUCCAUUUGAGAUAAGAAGGGCACCUUCUUUACUCCAUAGUCCAACCUGGUCAAAUAGGUGCCCAGCAAUGUGCUAAGCUCUUUACCUGCGUCAUCGCAUCUGGUUCUCACAGCAACUCUAUGAGGUUUUUGUUAAUCCAGUGGGUUUGGUGGAAUUAGAAGGCUACUGUGAAAAAAAAAAAAAAAGCCAGAGCAACCUGCUGGCGUGAGAACAGCCUUGUCAACUAGCAGGCGGCUGGACUGUUAGCCUUUAUCCAGCGUACAAUGAGGGCAAUCACCCGGGCCUGCAGCAAGAGUAUUGAACGGUCGACACAGGACGUUUUUGUUGAAAGUGGUCCUUUUGAUUUCAUCUUCCCAGCCUAAUGUAAUAAAAACAGACAUUAUGGAACACAUUCAUCUCAGUUUGAUAGGGACCAUCAUGAAUACCCAGCAACGUGUGCAGUCAUCAAGGUUACCCGAGUGCCGGAAGUGACUGGAAGAUGAUCGUUGAGCCAAAGGUUGUGAGCACCUCACCCCAGAGGAGAGCGGGUGGCUGUCCCCAGAGCAGGCCGAUGUGUGGAUGGAGUAGAAACAUGCUGUUUCCACUAGGAGGAUAUUUGACUUCUCGAACAUUCUAAGUUUCAGCCGCAAGCCUGUUUUCUCUAAUUAGCAAAACCUUGAGGGGUUAUCUCAAAGGAAGAAGAAAGGAAAACAAUGUGGAAGGAUCUCGGACUUAUUUUUGCUGAUGGGAUGGCCGUUUCUGUGGAAACAGAAAGGGAGGCAGGAACCUGCGCCGUCAGAGGCUUGGUUCCUGUCAGCUUCUCCCACUUGCGGUAUUCCCGAAUUCCAUACUCUGACUCUGGGAGUUUAUGACCUCAAUGGGGACCAACUACAGAGAACAGAGCCUCACAUGAGUUGGGAAUUUAGGAGUUCUCUCCCAAACAAGAAGCCCACAGAAGUUAGGGUGACGCUGGCAUUUGGGAGGAUUCCCACUUACUAACCCUUCUAAUUUCCUUAACUACUUGAAGCAUUCCAAGUUUACCGUAACAAAGUAAACAGUACUCCCAAUAUGUAUUUGUGUGGUUGCUAGGGUGCUAUUCUCCAAGUACUUUGCUGAAGUGCCUGAAAGGAACUGCUUAUUCUCUUAGUGUCAGUUAUACUCUGCCGGGAGUUUAUAGGUAACAUUUUGUUGGGCGUUAGAAUGAAAACAGGUGAGUAAUUGCUGAUUGAAUUUGAGACAUAGUAUAUGAUUCCUCAGACUGAAUAAAAGC